rnacentral:rRNA from 1 species
UACGUAGGGGGCAAGCGUUGUCCGGAUUUAUUGGGCGUAAAGAGCGUGUAGGCGGCCAGACAAGUCUGCUGUGAAAACUCGAGGCUCAACCUCGAGCUGUCGGUGGAAACUGUCUGGCUAGAGUCCGGGAGAGGGAUGCGGAAUUCCAGGUGUAGCGGUGAAAUGCGUAGAUAUCUGGAGGAACACCGGUGGCGAAGGCGGCAUCCUGGACCGAGAUUGACGCUGAGGCGCGAAAGCCAGGGGAGCAAACGGG